CUUGAGACUCACAACAGACACUGAUUCAAUGACCCAGUCAUACGUGUAUACACUGUAAGUACGUUAAAGGAUCCUCUGACCGUGGAAUGUUUCUCUCCUCCAAGUAGCGCUGGACCUCAGUGAUGGAGUCCGCUGUUGCAUUGUUGCUGCCAACUUCUUCAUCGAGCCGCUGCCACAGGUGACUGCUCUGAUGAAGGUCCAGGCUGUGGCUCAGAUGUUGUGAGGGCAAUUACUGCAGACCACUCCACUUUCAGGCGAUUGACUGCCUCACUACACUUGGAGGAACUACGAAAUCCAAGUGUUGUAAGUCUGGGGUCUAAAAGUGUUGAGAGGGUCAACACACUAUGACUCCAGAUUAGAAGCGAUGUCUGACACGACGCCUCAGUUGGUCAUGCAGAUGGGUGGAUGCUUGUGUGUGUGUGUGUGUGUAGAUGUAAAGAGUUCAGCUCAAGUGCAAAAUAGAAUUUUCAUCAUCGGGAUGACCUUUGAUCCUGAAACUCUCCUCAGACAACUCCACUGUGGCCUGAUGGAAAGGGGCCAGCACAGGAAGUGCUUCCCUUACAAUGUCACACUCAUCAGCCGUAAGUGGAGUUAAAUCUGUUGGAAGAGAAGAGAUACCCAGACUGCUUCUUUCUCAUCAUGUAGCUGUGACAGCAUCUGAUAUGUGCUGUUCCAACGUGUUGGUACCUCGUUGAUAAGUUUCAAGAUGGGCUGUCCCAUCUGCUGCUGCACUUGAGCAAGCUUUUCUUUGGCUGUAGUGCUGGAUCUGAAGAAUGAUAUGAUUUAUCUCUUAUGGAUGAAAGUUCAGGGAUUUGAUCACAUGAUUUCUUGACUAAUAAAUUGAGUUUGUAUGCAAUGCAAACUGAAUGUCAAAUUUGGAGAGUUCUUGUUGCUGCAAUCACAUUUGGUGCUGCAUCGGUCACAAGACACAUUAUUUGCGAUGGCCCAGUCAUCCAUCAUGUCCUUUUUGAAUUGGGCCAAAUUGUCUGCAGUGUGACUUUGUGGAAAGUGUUUCACAUCCAACACAGAUGUGCACAACUGCCACAAUACUAAGGGGUUGGCAG